rnacentral:rRNA from 1 species
AUGAGAAUGGAGUGCGGCUUCCUCGUGCUUGUGCUUGCGUUGCUAGGGACGCAGACAACACGAGCGUCUGGCGCCGUAGCGACAAAUGGCCGGCCGUAUGAGGAGGGCAAUCUUGUCAUCCCGUCCCCGGCCAUGCUCCGUGGGUGUCCGAAGAAGUGCGGCAAUCUGAGCUUUGCCUACCCGUUCGGCAUCGGCUCCGGCUGCUUCCGCGACCCCGACUUCAACCUGACCUGCGUCGUCGACGGCAGCACGGGCACCCACAAGCUCUUCUUGCGCGACGGCAUCACCGAGAUCGUCGACGGCGGCAUCGACGUAGGCUUGACGCAUUACAUAAGCGUCACCUCUGCCGACGACGCCGAUGUCUCCGUUGCUGAAAUUUGAGAUGGGCUCUAGGCCCAUAUAGCAAUUUCUAAAAAAUCUCUAAAAACCCAUGUGGGUUAUAUGGCACUAGGUGUAGUGGGAAGUUUAGUCCCACCCCGCUAGUGUGAAAAAUUACCUAUUUACUCAACAUCCGUCUCCGGCGUGGACAUUUACAACCUGUCCUCUUGGUCACCUCUCGGGAGAUCUUUCUUUCUAUUCGAAGCCAGCAUUAACGUCACUGGCUGCGGCUUCGACGUGUACAUGCUGGACCACGACAUGAACACGGCCUCAAAGGUCUGCUCGACCACCUGCCCCGGCACGGAGAUCGCCGAGACGAUGGCCAUGCAGAACUGCAACGGCACCUGGUGCUGCUCCGUCCGUUUUCUCUUUAACUUUAAUGGGUUUCAGUUCAACUUUGUCCGGCGACGGGGCGAGGAAUGCAGAACUCAUGUGGAGUGUGGUGGAUCAGCCAAGAUGUGCCGACGCCGAGGCAGACGUAGCUACCUACGCCUGCCUCAGCAGCAAUAGCAGCUGCACCGAUAGCGAUUGGACAUCUAGCGGCUACCACUGCUACUGUAACGGCGGGUAUGUAGGCAAUCCCUAUGUUCCCGGUGGCUGCUCGCNNGAAAAUAGGAUAUGAGCCAAUUCAACGAGUGGCAAAUUGCACACGACGAUGUGGAAACAUUGACAUCCAAUUUCCGUUCGGCCUAGAAGAAGGCUGUUUUGCGAGGGAGGUAUUUCAGCUGAAUUGCACUAAUGGGACGACAUCUACACUACAAUUGAAAGAUGAUGAUGAGAAUCAAGUAACGUACAUAAAUAUUGAGGAGGGGCUAAUUGAGAUUAAUUAUACCACAGAUUAUUACGACCUGCAGUUUUCAACGAAUUAUAUUGAAAAAGGAUCUAACCUCUAUAUGAGUAGUUAUUGGCACACAUCAUCGGUGCAGUGGGCUGUCGCUAACCUAACUUGUCAAGAAGCACAGAUGGACAUAACUAGGUAUGCAUGUGUUAGCAUCAAUAGCACAUGUUUGAUUGUCAACUCUACGAUGAAUGGUUUCUAUGGUUAUCGCUGCAAAUGUUCGGCAGGCUAUCAAGGAAAUCCGUACGUGCGUACAGGUUGUCAGGAUAUUAAUGAGUGCACUAAUACAAGAGGUAUAUGUGAAGAGGUUUGUCAUAAUACUGUGGGCUGCUACUAUUGCACCAAGUGUCCUCCAAAAAUGGACUAUGAUACUACAACAAUGCAGUGUACAAAAAGACAAAAUAUUUACGUAGGUAUUAUCAUUGGGUUGAGCAGUGGCUUCGGGGUUCUUUUUCUUAGCUUGAGUGGAGUUUUUGUUGUACACAAAUGGAACAGCUACAUCCGAAGGCAGAUGCAGAGGAAAUAUUUUAGGAAAAACCAAGGUCUUCUUUUAGAAAAACUUAUAUCGUCGGAUGAAAAUGCAAGUGACAAGACAAGAAUUUUCUCAGUGGAAGAGCUAGAAAAGGCAACAGACAACUUCCAUCAAACACGUAUCGUUGGCCGUGGAGGGCAUACUAUCCGACCAAAGGGUAGUUGCCAUAAAGAAGUCUAAGGUCAUUGAGCAAGGUGAGAUCAAUCAAUUCAUCAAUGAGGUCGCCAUUCUCUCCCAGAUAAACCACCGAAACAUUGUAAAGCUUUUUGGAUGUUGUCUUGAAACAGAGGUACCUUUAUUAGAGUACGAUUUUAUCCCCAACGGAUCAUUGUUUCGUAUUCUUCAUUCUGAUUCCAACACUAGUUGUUUAUCUUGGGAUGAUUGCAUAAGGAUUGCUUUGGAAGCUGCAGGAGCUCUCUCUUAUCUCCAUUCCGCAGCAUCAAUAUCAGUCUUCCAUGGUGAUGUGAAAUCAUCCAAUAUACUAUUGGAUGGAAACUACACAGCUAAGGUUGCUGAUUUUGGGGCUUCGAGGCUAGUUUCUAUUGACCAAACCCACAUUGUGACAAAUGUACAAGGCACAUUUGGGUACUUGGACCCAGAAUAUUACUACACUGGACAAUUAAAUGAGAAAAGUGAUGUCUACAGUUUUGGGGUUGUACUCAUUGAGCUACUUCUCAGGAGAGAGAGCCAAUAUUCACAAGUGAAUCCGGCUCGAAGCAAAACUUGUCAAACUAUUUUCUUUCGGGGUUAAAAGCAAGACAAGUUACAGAAAUAGUAGCUGCCCAAGUUCUUGAUGAAGCAACUGAGGAAGAGAUUAGCAGCGUAGCUUCCCUUGCAGAGGUGUGCUUGAGGCUCCGAGGUGAGGAUAGACCUACCAUGAAACACGUGGAGAUGGCUUUAAGGGUUCUGCAAACAGAAAGGUUAAAAUUGUGCCGUGUUGAUCCAGGGAAUGCACAAGAGAAGGAACCACUGCUAACUCCAGCAAGAGAAAAAGAUAGCUCUGAUCAGUUGGUUGCUUCUGAUUGUGUCAAUGCUAAUUUGGCAUCUGAAAACAUGAAACCGUGCUAUAGCUUUGAGCAAGAGUUCAUGUCAUAUGAUGGUGUUUCACGCCUCUGA